rnacentral:lncRNA from 1 species
AGCUGAGCUACAUCAGGAGCAUGACUUAAAGGAUAAAGAUCGCCUGAAGAAUUUAGAUGAGCAACUCUCUGCUCCAAAGAAAGAUGUCAAGCAGCCAGAAGAACUCCCUCCCAUCACAACCACAACAACUUCUACUACACCAGCUACCAACACCACUUGUACAGCCACGGUUCCACCACAGCCACAGUACAGCUACCACGACAUCAAUGUCUAUUCCCUUGCGGGCUUGGCACCACACAUUACUCUGAAUCCAACAAUUCCCUUGUUUCAGGCCCAUCCACAGUUGAAGCAGUGUGUGCGUCAGGCAAUUGAACGGGCUGUCCAGGAGCUGGUCCAUCCUGUGGUGGAUCGAUCAAUUAAGAUUGCCAUGACUACUUGUGAGCAAAUAGUCAGGAAGGAUUUUGCCCUGGAUUCGGAGGAAUCUCGAAUGCGAAUAGCAGCUCAUCACAUGAUGCGUAACUUGACAGCUGGAAUGGCUAUGAUUACAUGCAGGGAACCUUUGCUCAUGAGCAUAUCUACCAACUUAAAAAACAGUUUUGCCUCAGCCCUUCGU